AACGAACGCUGGCGGCAUGCCUAACACAUGCAAGUCGAACGAGACCUUCGGGUCUAGUGGCGCACGGGUGCGUAACGCGUGGGAACCUGCCCUUAGGCUCGGAAUAACUCCCCGAAAGGGGUGCUAAUACCGGAUAAUGUCUUCGGACCAAAGAUUUAUCGCCUUUGGAUGGGCCCGCGUUGGAUUAGCUAGUUGGUAGGGUAAAAGCCUACCAAGGCGACGAUCCAUAGCUGGUCUGAGAGGAUGAUCAGCCACACUGGGACUGAGACACGGCCCAGACUCCGACGGGAGGCAGCAGUGGGGAAUAUUGGACAAUGGGCGAGAGCCUGAUCCAGCAAUGCCGCGUGAGUGAUGAAUGCCUUAGGGUUGUAAAGCUCUUUUACCCGGGAUGAUAAUGACAGUACCGGGAGAAUAAGCUCCGGCUAACUCCGUG
rnacentral:rRNA from 1 species